UUAGCAGGUUGGUCAUUCCACAGACUUAUUCUGGAUGCUGAAGGUGAUGACUGACCAUGCUGGGGAGCUGGGGCAGGGCCCUGUGUCACACACAGAGCUGCCGUGAGGGGCAGAGGGACAGUCCAUGGUCAGUGCAACGCCUAAGGAGAAGAACAGGACCCACCUGGGAGCCUGCUUGCCAGAAGGAGAAAUGGCACAAGAGGAAAUACAUCUUCACAACCUCGAGAGAGGAGAAGGUUGGAAUCUGAGUCCAUAAACAGCGUUGCUGUGCAGUGAGCAAAGACAGAGCAGGUUGGGCUCUGGAGAGUGUAACCCCACCUCUGCUGCUCCACUGCCAAUUAAAAGUAAAGAAGAGAA